UAAAAAAUCAAACAAAAGAAAACCUUGAUAUUUAAUUAAAACAGCAGCCAAGGAAAUAAUCAAUACUCGAUUUAAACAUAAGAAAAGACUUAAUAUUCAGACAUUAAGGAGGAAUUGGACUUGGAGAUACCUAAUUUCACAUAGAAACUCUAGCUGUGACGUUCCUGACCUAGGAUUCUUUGGGACUCUCUUCCCCUGAAGAUAUUCCCACUCCAAGAGACUGCAUCUAAAAGUUUGAAGCCAGUAAAAAAAGAAAUAUUGGUGUUUCGGGACUAUAAAGUGCUGGCAGGCAUAAGCUUGUAACUUUCUACUGAAGCUGUUUCAUUCAAAAGGUAGAAGAAAUCAUUUUUAUUUUCCUCUCUUCAAGAAAAUAUCUGUUUUAUUGGCUGUUUACUGCUUAUGCUAUUUUCUUACUUGGUAUUUUCAUCUGAAGAAAGCUUUUUAAGUUACGUUGCUUUAAUUUUUUUUUGGUUUUGAACAUUUUUCUUGGUAAAUUAGAGGGUGGUUUAAUUACUGGUCCUCUUCAUAGUAAUAGACCUUUUCCCCCUUGACAGUGAAAACAGUGAGGCUUGUUAAAUUAACCCUUGUGUUGGUUAGCAGAUCUCUCUCUCUCUCUCUCUCUCUCUCUUUCUCUCUCAGGCACCUAUCUUCCUAGUGUCUGUGUCGAGAUGGAAGAAGUGUGGGUUGUCUACUUGUCCCUGUUCUUGCUUGUCUUGGUGCUCAUUUUAAUGAAGCGUGACCCAGAUUUGGAGGCCGCAAAGAAAGUUAAGGAAACACCAAGCACCCCAGCACCAACCACCUAUUAUUCCAGUGGUGCUGGCAAACAUCUGGAAUACACUGAAGAAGAGAUGGAGAAAUCCCUGGAGAGGCUAACCAGCAUCUUGUAUGAGGUAGAUGCUAGAAAAAGGGAAACCCACCAUGAGCAGAAAACAGCAAAGGCAGAAGCCUAUCACCAUCACAAAGCACCUGACGCAGAGUCUGAAAAUAAAGAGCUAAUGGGAAAGGGGCCAGGACAUUCCCAGCAUCUAUCUAGCCAGCACAGGGUUCAGGAGAAAGCAACUCAUCCUGGAGGCCCUGGGAAUAUCAUGGAUGAGAUUGGUCUGAAAUGACUGUUCAGUCUGAGGCUGAUCAAAUCUAGAGGGGUUCCUGGGGAAACCAGCACCGAUACAGCCAAGCACAAGCAGCAGCAAGAGCCAGCGUGUUUGUUAGUGACCAGAAACAGAUGAACUUCCUUGGCUCGAUGGCCAUGAUUGUUUCACCUGUCUCGAAAUGGAACCAUCAGACCCUUUGGGAGAUGGGCUGAAGCUGGAAGCACAGCUGGUUUCACAGCAGUCUCUGUAGGGCCUUGAAUUUCUAACUACUGACUCUGCUGCCCCAGACGCUAAUCAAAUCUGUCUUGCUGCCAGAACUCAGGACAACGGAAACCUUUCAGUUAAAGCCAGGCCCUAAAGGUUACUUUUGAGGGGGUAGGCCUGCUGUGGCAGGGGGCUAGAUGAACCAAUGGAUUCCUUCCAGCUUUCACAUCGGUGGUCUCUGUGAACCAGCACCAUGCCAAUGUGGGGAGCAUUAUGCCUGCAGAAGGCACAGCAAGUGUCAUGUGGCAGGAGUGCUGGGGGUGCCUACAGCAGUUGCUUUAGCUAUUCUACAGCGCUCUCCCCAGCGCUCAUGCUAGUGCCUCAACACAUCCCCCCUUGGCCAGUUAGUGCUGGCCAGACUGGUCCCUCCUCCCCCUACUCCCAGCACUUCCAGAGCACUAGCAACCAAAUUACACUUGCCAUCUGCAAACAUGCUCUGGGAGGGGGAGGGGAGAAGGGGUCCCCUUUACCCAUUUCCCCCCCUCAAGGGCACCUGCCUAGGAGCAUGCAUGAAUUGGAGACCCUGGUGUUGCUCAGAGGGCAAUGCAGCUGUUGCCAUACAUGCCUGUUCACUCUGAUCUACUCCCCCAGCUUGGGGUUAGCUGCUCACGGGGGAGUUCCCUCAUUGUGAGUAAUUCUCACUUAGUAAGAGCCGCUCCACCCAGCCCUACCCUGCUGCUGAAUGUGGCUUGCCAGCUGACAUGGCAUGCAAUGGGAAGACUUGUAGCUGACGCAACCAUCUGCUCAGCAGCAAGUUGGGCACCGUUUCCACAGCCCUUGGUACUGAGUCAGCG
ensembl:lncRNA